CCACAAGGAAAUACAGACAUGGCUAUAUUCGAUUUUCGAGAGCUAAAGCAAGGAUCCAACGAAACGCUCAACGAAUACUACCGUCGACUGAAGACAAAAGCAGUACAAUGUAAUUUUCACAGCGAGGAAGCCGAGAUUAAAACCCAAAUUAUUCACAAAACCCGCGAUUCCCGGUUAAGAAAGAAAGCGCUUCGUGAGACGAUGACUCUCAAACAAAUUCUCGACUACGGGAAUACCUUAGAACGUACAGAUGAACAGUCUAAACGCCUCGAUAACGCCAGCAAAUUCCAAAGCGAAAGUAACGAAACAGUAAAUUAUAAUUACAACGAAAAGAAUUCAAAACAACAUCGAAAAUUUCCAACUUCCGGUGGAUCAAAUUCCAGAUACAGGACGCCCAAGAAGCCUGAUUCGCGUUUUCAAGGAAAUAAAUACCAGAAAGAAGCUCCAGAUAGCGGUCGAAAGUCCCAAACCUGUCGUAACUGUGGAGGUAAAUUCCCGCACAAAGACGGAAUAGAGUCCUGCCCAGCUAGAGGUAAACCUUGCCACAACUGCAAGAAAAUCGGUCAUUUUGCAAAAUAUUGUAGAUCUCAAUCUAAGGACAGUGGAAAUGUCAGACAUGUCAACCAAG